CCUACGGGGGGCAGCAGUGGGGAAUAUUGGACAAUGGGGGCAACCCUGAUCCAGCCAUGCCGCGUGUGUGAAGAAGGCCCUCGGGUUGUAAAGCACUUUCAGUGAGGAAGAACGCCUGGUGGUUAAUACCCAUCAGGAAAGACAUCACUCACAGAAGAAGCACCGGCUAACUCCGUGCCAGCAGCCGCGGUAAUACGGAGGGUGCGAGCGUUAAUCGGAAUUACUGGGCGUAAAGCGCGCGUAGGUGGCUUGAUAAGCCGGUUGUGAAAGCCCCGGGCUCAACCUGGGAACGGCAUCCGGAACUGUCAAGCUAGAGUGCAGGAGAGGAAGGUAGAAUUCCCGGUGUAGCGGUGAAAUGCGUAGAGAUCGGGAGGAAUACCAGUGGCGAAGGCGGCCUUCUGGACUGACACUGACACUGAGGUGCGAAAGCGUGGGUAGCAAACAGGAUUAGAUACCCUGGUAGUC
rnacentral:rRNA from 1 species